CCUACGGUGGGCAGCAGUGGGGAAUAUUGCACAAUGGGGGGAACCUUGAUGCAGCAACGUCGCGUGGGUGAAGAAGUACUCCGGUAUGUAAAGCCCUGUUAGCAGGGAAGUAAAUGACGGUACCUGACCAAGAAGCCCCGGAUCACUACGUGACAGCAGCCGCGGUAAUACGUAGGGGGCCAGCGUUAUCCGGAUUUACUGGGUGUAAAGGGAGCGUAGUCGGCAAGGCAAGUCUGCAGUGAAAGCUCGGGGCUCAACCAGGGGAGUGCUGUGGGAACCGUGUUGCUGGAGUGCAGGAGGGGUAAGCGGAAUUCCUAGUGUAGCGGUGAAAUGCGUAGAUAUUAGGAAGAACACCGGUGGCGAAGGCAGCUUGCUGGACUGUAACUGACGUUGAGGCUCGAAGGCGUGGGGAGCGAACAGGAUUAGAUACCCCAGUAGUC
rnacentral:rRNA from 1 species